UGUUUUUAAUUUAUGAUUGUUGUUGGUGGAGAGAGCGGAAGAUGCCGGGGACAGCUUGGAGAAGAUCAAGCGGCAGCUGGCCUCUGGGUCUGGUCGGAAUUUGUUGCAGGGUCCCCUUCUAAAGCGAUCUGAAACAUUGAGGAAAUGGAAUGAGCGAUGGGUAGUUUUGGACCCAACAACAGGGAAAAUGGA